ensembl:lncRNA
GGAAAAGCCUGCAUUUAUUGAGCUCUUCCUGUGUGUCACCCACUGGGGCGGAACCUUUCACCCACAGGGUCCGAUUUAAUCCUUACGACAGCACUACUGUCAUCUCUAUUUUAGAGAUAAGAAAAUCGGUAGCUGUGCUCAUUCACAGCCUACAAGACCUCAUGCAACUACAACAAAAUAGAUCUUUUCUGUUUAUAUUUUCUGUCCCAACUGCACAGCGGCGUGGUUGGUAUCGGCUCAUCACCCUGCUAAUGAAGAUAAGAGUCUUCUCUCCUUGCUUGUACUCAACAGUGAGAGAUUAUCAGCUUUGUUCUGCUUCUGGAGCCUCCAUAAACACCAGAGUACAUUUUUUCUGCCAUUUACCCUGCACAGAACAUGGAGCUUCUUGGCCCCAACCAUGCAUGUGGAGGACAACAGACUCAACAAGACACCUGGAGCCCUGUGCAGAAUCACGAGGAGUGGUUAGGGCUUCCGGCUAAGCAGUGCCCUCCGCCAGCGUUCAAGUGCUCCUGCGAACUGAAACAGAACAGGUAGGCGUGGAAGCUCAGAGGCCGGAUGGCGGGGUUUAAACACGCCAGCAGUGAGACGGCUUGACUUCUCAGA